rnacentral:rRNA from 1 species
UAGGGAAUCUUCGGCAAUGGGGGGAACCCUGACCGAGCAACGCCGCGUGAGUGAAGAAGGUUUUCGGAUCGUAAAGCUCUGUUGUUAAGGAAGAACGAGUGUGAGAAUGGAAAGUUCAUGCUGUGACGGUACUUAACCAGAAAGGGACGGCUAACUACGUGCCAGCAGCCGCGGUAAUACGUAGGUCCCGAGCGUUGUCCGGAUUUAUUGGGCGUAAAGCGAGCGCAGGCGGUUAGAAAAGUCUGAAGUGAAAGGCAGUGGCUCAACCAUUGUAGGCUUUGGAAACUGUUUAACUUGAGUGCAGAAGGGGAGAGUGGAAUUCCAUGUGUAGCGGUGAAUUGCGUAGAUAUAUGGUGGAACACCGGUCGCGAAAGCGGCUCUCUGGUCUGUAACUGACGCUGAGGCUCGAAAGCGUAGGGAGCGAACAGG